rnacentral:rRNA from 1 species
CGGACGGGUGAGUAAUGUCUGGGAAACUGCCCGAUGAGGGGGAGUAACUACUGGAAACGGUAGCUAAUACCGCAUAAUGUCUGCGGACCAAAGCGGGGGACCUCCGGGCCUCGCGCCAUCAGAUGAACCCAUAUGGGAUUAGCUUGUAGGUAAGGUAACGGCUUACCUAGGCGACGAUCCCUAGCUGGUCUGAGAGGAUGAUCAGCCACACUGGGACUGAGACACGGCCCAG